UACGUAGGGGGCAAGCGUUGUCCGGAAUUAUUGGGCGUAAGGCGCGCGCAGGCGGUUUUUUAAGUCUGGUGUAUAAGCCCGAGGCUCAACCUCGGUUCGCACCGGAAACUGGGAAACUUGAGUGCAGGAGAGGAAAGCGGAAUUCCACGUGUAGCGGUGAAAUGCGUAGAGAUGUGGAGGAACACCAGUGGCGAAGGCGGCUUUCUGGACUGUAACUGACGCUGAGGCGCGAAAGCGUGGGGAGCAAACAGG
rnacentral:rRNA from 1 species